ACUCACCUCUACCAACUUGGGGUGAGACCAGAAGAGACUUGGAGAGGAACAAUCCUACAACAUCCUGGGCUCAGGAUCACAGUCAGACUCUAGACAAUCUGCCCAAAGUACGUCCACCAAAUCUGUAUGCCUCUUCUUUUCCAGACCUAACUUUAAACACUGAAUACUAACAUUGCAGCUACUGAAGAGUCAGGUUCAUUUCUCAUUUAAAGCUGAAAAGUGGCUUUCCACCCAGUCUUUUCAGAAAAUUCCCCGUGACAGGUGUGGAAAGGAUCGGAGGCCAAAGAAGAACCCUUCUUCACCCGUGUGGCACCUUGCGGUUUCCAAAAGGCACCUUUCUUCCGAGUUCCCGGGAGCUGAGCUUCCCCAGCUCUCCGGGUUCGUUCUGUUCGGUUGUGUUUGCAACCGGAUUUUUUU